AAGCGGAGGAACAUGUGGUUUUAAUUCGAUGAUACGCGAGGAACCUUACCUGGGCUAGAACGCAUUCGGAAUCAGGCCCGAAAGGCCUGCGCCAGCGAUGGCCGCUUGCGAGGUGCUGCAUGGUUGUCGUCAGCUCGUGCCGUGAGGUGUCGGGUUAAGUCCCAUAACGAGCGCAACCCCUACUGCUAGUUGCCAGCGGGUCAUGCCGGGGACUCUAGCGGAACUGCCAGCGUAAGCUGCGAGGAAGGUGGGGAUGACGUCAAAUCAGCACGGCCCUUACGUCCAGGGCUACACACGUGUUACAAUGGCCGGUACAGAGGGCAGCCACCCCGCGAGGGGGCGCGAAUCCCGAAAGCCGGUCCCAGUUCGGAUCGGAGUCUGCAACCCGACUCCGUGAAGCUGGAUUCGCUAGUAAUCGCGCAUCAGCCACGGCGCGGUGAAUACGUUCCCGGGCCUU
rnacentral:rRNA from 1 species